CUACUACUAAUUUAUUUCUUUAUAGGUCCACCCUGUCAGAUUUCCAUCAAUCUAGCUCUCUUGUGCCUGAAAAACAGAAACGAACUGAUUUUGCCGCGGGUUUGCUCCAAAAUUUUGUGUUCGUACGCUUCCUCCCUCAAUUUGCCGGGUUUUCUUCUCCACUCUCGGAAGCAGUUAUGGUCCUAACAGAGAACAAAACCCAUCUCAUCUCCUUGACUCCUUCCCUGUACAUACCGACCCAAUCUCUCCAGCCUUCGCAGCUUCUCCACAGCGGAUGGCGGGGCCCGCCGCGGCCGACGGCACAAUCCCUUGCAGCCCAGGCGACGUCGCCGGUGCGGCAGUGCCUCAGCCCUGGUCGCUCGUCCCCAGGGCAAGAUCACCCGCCUCAACGCGCUUCUCCACGCCGUCAUCGAGGUCAACUCCGACGCGCUCCAGCAGCCGGCGCGCGCCGACACCGCGAGCGCGCCUCUAGCCACCGCUACUGCGGGCCGCUCCAUGGCGUCCCCAUCCUCAAGGACAACAUCGUGACGCGGGACCGGCUGAAAACGACGGCCGGGUCGUUCGCGCUGCUCGGCUUCGUCGUCUGUCGUGACGCCAGCGUGACGGCCGGCCUCCGCGCCGCCGCUGCCACCAUCCUCGGCAAGGCAAACUCCUCCAAGUGGUCCAACUUCCGCCCCGUCCCGAACGGCUGGAGCCAAGACGCUGGUAACACCUAUCACCACCCUAAGCUGUCGUUUUUUUCUCCAGCAUCUCGUCUUGUAUGCAAUGUGUUUGUGAAAUUGUCCAUAAAGAGCCCCAUGUUGUCAACUGACGUGAUCCGGUCCAGCCGCGCGGCGCUGGCAUGAGUGCAUCAUCCGUGUUGAACGGGUGGUCCCUGGCGGCUUUGCCCGCGCGCAUCCCCUAUGUUUUCAGUUUCAGCACCAGCAGCAACCACCUCACCGUGAUGGAUUCACUGGCUGAAUUUGUUCCUGCCAAUCAACGACCGCUUAUCAUAGCAGCUCCAGUUAGCUACUCACACGAAGGUCAUUUGCAUCUACUAGAAGCUGCAGCAUGGACGUGAUAUAUAUAUUUGCAAGAUCUGGUGAGAACACUAUUUAAUAAUCCCAAACACCAUAUUAGUGCUGGCAGUGAUUGUCAUACUAUGUGCACACGAUCUAUUAGAAUUUGUUGAACCCAAGCUUUGGCUAUCUUGCUCAUGCCAUAAUUGUUUGGAAUGUCAGAUUACAUUAGGAGGUGAUGAAGUAAGUGUUCCAAACGUGCAAAUCCAUGUCAUCAUCCACCAGCACUGCCCCCUCACUAUUACCAUUCUCUACCAUAUGUACUAGUAAUUAUUAUAGUUAUACAGAUGAAGUAAGAUUUCAUGCUGGAACUUUCUUAGGAAUAAUAUGCAACUUGUGACCUGUUUUUGCUAGCAUUAUUGUUGUUUUGAAUGAAGAAUUGAUGGUUGCAAUUGGCCGAUUUCUGCUAACCAGUGAAUCAGUAAGGUAUGAAUGGAUGCAAAUUCUGCUAAACACAUAGCUAUUUUUAUUCAGGAUAGAGCUGCGAACUACGACAUGAAUAAUACUCAUAUGUACAUGAAUGUACAUGUUAAUACAUACAUUAGGAUAAAUAUAAUAAAUAACUAGAUGAAUGGGUAGUGUGAACUAACCUAGCAAGUUCUGUUUUUUAAAUCGUUUGGUGGAAAAUCUGGCAGUUUUUUUAUCAAAAGAUAUGUGAAAUGAUGUAGACACUCCCAGUCUUAUAUACAGUCCUCAUCAAGGUUGUUCAUGUUGCUUAGGAUUCUAUUCAUUCGUCCUUAUCUUUUUUUUUUGUUAGUAACAACAUCUUUGUACCAUGAUCUAAGCUUUCAGGCUGGUAUAAGUAUAAUCAGCCAUCUGUGGCCUUUCAAUUAUUCUAAUUAUGCAUGUGUACAAGAUUGUCCUUUUUUAUUCAAUUCAGUGAUCUCCAAGGUUGCAUGUAAGCUUUGUCCACUAGAUCAUGGAUCCAACACAAGCCUCCAGGUGCUGUUAACCUCAUCUCCACAUAUUUAGCGACAAACUUUGUGUGAGAUGAAGAUCAAAUUGUAUAGUCAAAUAUAUUCACUUGUGGUUAUUAAAUUUAUAACACACCUACAUUACCUUUACUUUCUAUUUCAACACAGCAAACUAUGGAUUUAAAUGCUAGUAAACAGACAUUGCUUUUCUACAGACCAUUUAUGAGCAUUUUUGGUAGAAUAAAGGAGUUUUCAUAUGUGGAAAAAAAUAUCUUGAAACUAAGAUCUGAUCCAAUGGCCAUUUAACAAUUGUGUGAAUUAGUGAUUAUUACAGCAGAAGUGUGUGAUCAUUGAGUAUGUUUAUUAAAAUUCUUUGAAGUGGUGGAAUUUUUUUACACUGCCACCACAUGUUUGUCACUGUUGUUGGUAUAGAAAGUACAAAUUUUCAUCUAUGUGAUAUCAACUGUUUAUUUUCAAGCCCAUUCUUUGGUUUGUCAAGGUGGGAAAUUCAAGUAAAGGCUUGUUUUGAUAACCUCUUUUGCAGGAUUUAUUUUCAAUUUGUUCAAGGCUGUUGGUAUUGCACGGAGGAAAUUCAUUACCUACUUUUUUUUUAACCUUGCAAUGUCAUAUUGAUAACCCAUGUAUCCCCGCAAAAAAAAUAUUGAUAACCCAUGUAAUCAUGUCAUCAACUCAUGUGAUAUUUGGAGUGCCUUGGAGUGUAUUGGCUUUGAAAGCUUUGCUAUCCUGUAUUUCCCAUGGUUAUUCAUCAACAGAGAUUGCACAUUGUUGCUUUCUACUC